AACGGAGGGAGCUAGCGUUAUUCGGAAUUACUGGGCGUAAAGCGUACGUAGGCGGCUUUGUAAGUUAGAGGUGAAAGCCCGGAGCUCAACUCCGGAACUGCCUUUAAGACUGCAUCGCUUGAAUCCAGGAGAGGUGAGUGGAAUUCCGAGUGUAGAGGUGAAAUUCGUAGAUAUUCGGAAGAACACCAGUGGCGAAGGCGGCUCACUGGACUGGUAUUGACGCUGAGGUACGAAAGCGUGGGGAGCAAACAGG
rnacentral:rRNA from 1 species